rnacentral:rRNA from 1 species
UUUUGGACAAUGGGGGCAACCCUGAUCCAGCCAUUCCGCGUGAGUGAAGAAGGCCUUCGGGUUGUAAAGCUCUUUCAGCAGGAACGAAACGGUGGCUACUAAUACUAGCUACUAAUGACGGUACCUGAAGAAGAAGCACCGGCUAACUACGUGCCAGCAGCCGCGGUAAUACGUAGGGUGCGAGCGUUAAUCGGAAUUACUGGGCGUAAAGCGUGCGCAGGCGGUUCUAUAAGACAGAUGUGAAAUCCCCGGGCUUAACCUGGGAACUGCGUUUGUGACUGUAGGACUCGAGUGUGGCAGAGGGGGGUGGAAUUCCACGUGUAGCAGUGAAAUGCGUAGAGAUGUGGAGGAACACCGAUGGCGAAGGCAGCCCCCUGGGUCAACACUGACGCUCAUGCACGAAA